rnacentral:rRNA from 1 species
AACGAACGCUGGCGGCGUGCUCAACACAUGCAAGUCGAACGCGAAAGGGACUUCGGUCCUGAGUAAAGUGGCGCACGGGUGAGUAACGCGUAGGUAAUCUACCCCUGUGUUCGGGACAACAUCGGGAAACUGGUGCUAAUACCGGAUACGUUUCACGGAUUGCAAGAUAAGGGAAGGAAAGAUGGCGACCCUUCGGGGGCUAAUGACAGGGGAUGAGCCUGCGUACCAUUAGCUAGUUGGUGGGGUAAGAGCCUACCAAGGCGACGAUGGUUAGCGGGUCUGAGAGGAUGAUCCGCCACACUGGAACUGGAACACGGUCCAGACUCCUACGGGAGGCAGCAGUAAGGAAUUUUGCACAAUGGGGGAAACCCUGAUGCAGCGACGCCGCGUGAGUGACGAAGGUCUUCGGAUCGUAAAGCUCUGUCAGCAGGGAAGAAACGUUUGGUGGCUAAUAUCCAUUGAAUUUGACGGUACCUGCAAAGGAAGCACCGGCUAACUCUGUGCCAGCAGCCGCAGUAACAC